rnacentral:rRNA from 1 species
AUUGAACGCUGGCGGCAGGCUUAACACAUGCAAGUCGAGCGAGCGGCGGACGGGUGAGUAAUGUCUGGGAAACUGCCUGAUGGAGGGGGAUAACUACUGGAAACGGUAGCUAAUACCGCAUACCAUCGGAUCGGCCCAUAUGGGAUUAGCUAGUAGGUGGGGUAAAGGCUCACCUAGGCGACGAUCCCUAGCUGGUCUGAGAGGAUGACCAGCCACACUGGAACUGAGACACGGUCCAGACUCCUACGGGAGGCAGCAGUGGGGAAUAUUGCACAAUGGGCGCAAGCCUGAUGCAGCCAUGCCGCGUGUGUGAAGAAGGCCUUCGGGUUGUAAAGCACUUUCAGCGAGGAGGCGUUACUCGCAGAAGAAGCACCGGCUAACUCCGUGCCAGCAGCCGCGGUAAUAC